rnacentral:rRNA from 1 species
GACGAACGCUGGCGGCGUGCUUAACACAUGCACGUCGAACGGUAAGGCCCUUCGGGGUACACGAGUGGCGAACGGGUGAGUAACACGGGGGUGAUCUGCCCUGCACUUCGGGAUAAGCCUGGGAAACUGGGUCUAAUACCGGGUAGGACCCCUGCCUGCAUGGGUGGUGGUGUAAAGCUUUUGCGGUGUUGGAUGGGCCCGCGGCCUAGCAGCUUGUUGGUGGGGUGAUGGCCUACCAAGGCGACGACGGUUAGCCGGCCUGAGAGGGUAACCGGCCACACUGGGAAUGAGAUACGACCCAGACUCCUACGGGAGGCAGCAGUGGGGAAUAGUGCACAAUGGGCGCAAGCCUGAUGCAGCGACGCCGCGUGAGGGAUGACGGCCUUCGGGUUGUAAACCUCUUUCAGCACCGACGAAGCGCAAGUGACGGUAGGUGCAGAAGAAGGACCGGCCAACUACGUGCCAGCCGCCGCCGUAA